GGAGUAACUACACUAGCCUUUCGUUUCAUUUUAUGCAGCAGCAUCAUAAAAACUGUUAAAAGGGAGCUACAAUUGAAGCGCGAUAAAGCAAAGAGUGCAUAGUUGAUGGUGCUAUCUUCAUUCUUAAUCAUAUGUACAGGGAGAGAGGGAAUGUUAGUAAAAUAAAUGAUCCUGUAGUAAGUGCCUACAAGCUACAUAACCACUCUCAAACUCACUUAAUAUGAGUAUCUGCUUUAUCGUUCCUUACAUUCUACAACGUCAAGAUGAAAUGGUAUGGGUCAAUUAGCAUGCUACGAGUAAAACGGUCCAUUCUACGAUAAAGCCGACUCACCUCGAUGUCCAAUUUGGUACUUUGGAAUAGUACUCAUAAGUACUAUGUUGAGGGUACGACGGAGCUUGGAGGAACAAAAUGGGUGAACAUGAACCAUGAAAAUUUCCACCAAACAUAUGUCUCGGAAAUGGGCACGUGGUCAACCGUUGACUGACUUAAAUCGCUUACGAAACAAAUACUUUGCAGGUGGCGGAUUUUUUUUCUUUUUUCAUUUCUUUUUUAUUACGACUUUGUAAACGAGUUUAUGUGAAAUAUGAUUCUAGAAAAAAUUAAAUUAAAUAGAAAAUCGAUAGUUUACUUAGUUAAAUAUUUUGCACUUCACUUCCAAACAGUAAUGGACUACGAGUUAUGAUAUGUGCUGGUCAUACUUACACAAGUGUUAAUAUAUACUUGUUGAAAAAGUAUUCCCGCCUCUAGAGUGAUAGGAUUUACGCAGGCUCCGAUUUUCUUUCUUUUCUCUUUAACAGCCGAAAACUUAAGACGUAAUAAUAAUAGACCCUCUAAAAAAAAAAGGUAAAAAAAUAGGAUAGAAUAUUUUAGGGAUCCAAAAAACUACAUGUGCGUUUCAAUUUAGUAAGAAAUUUAACAGACACUAGUAAAUUAUGUUUGCAUCUCACUCUAUAAUUUAAAAGCCUUAAUCUAUAUAUUUAUAGACAUAUAUAUAUAUAUAUAUACCUUGAACACACUUUUCUUGGAUAACUUGACAUUGAUAUUAUAAGCGGUUUACUUAUAGUCUUCUUAUCUCUUCGUUCUAGAAAUAACAUCAUUUUCGUUCCAUGCUAACGAUUCGCUUUGUUCGGCUUUACUUACUUUGCUUCUGCAAUAUAAACCCGCAAUUGAUUACUGUUUGUUUUAGCGGAAUAGAAAGAGGCGCUGAAUGUUUCGGCAAAGUCGCAUGUUAGUUAUAUCGGUGUCGGCCCGCAAACCAUGUCGGUAAAGUCAUUGGCAGCAACAGUAAAAACCAGGCCAGACAAGGACGACACAGGCGAUGUAAUCACACUCUAACAUGUCUAUCCAUUCAUCAGUCUGUUAUUCAUCCCAAACGAUGUUAGGAAAAUGUUGGAUCUCACAUAGUCGCCGUGUUUGUCUUUAUUCUGUAACUGCAACUUAAAAAACUUAAAUUUCUCCAUCUAUACAAAUACCCGGAUUUUAAUGUACUUUAAAAAAAUUUACUUUUCCUCCCUCCUUCAUUAACGAGCUAUACCGUGGUUUGCGAAUAGACGUUAAAGGAAUACAACGUAAAGCGCUUAGUGUUUUGCGACAAAGAUAACGAACUGAAAAGAGGACAAGACAGGACAAGGACAGGGAAGGAGGACAAAUUUGUAAAUAGCGCUGCUUGUCUUUGGUUGCCCUUGGCAAGGAAACCAAAGCGUAGUAAGCAAGAUAUAAAUAUUGGACACAAUCGGGUAUCUGCGAGAUAGCAUGUGAAUCGAUGGUGUAAAGUAGACAACGUAACGGGCAUUCUGUGUUUAUGAGUGAAAUAUGAAGACUUGGUUCGUAAAGUAUACUUGAGAAUGCCUGCCAACGGAGUAUAUGGAAUGAAAUGAAGUAUGGGUAAAAACCGGUGUUGACGUUUAAGAAAAUCUUCAAAUAGCCCACUUUAUCGAAGAAGAGCGAUUGAGAAAACGUCUGCAAAUUAACAAACCUUAAGCAUAUUGGUCAAAGCAACAAUUACCUAAUUUGUUAUUUCUGAGCAACCAUCAACCGGCCGCUUCUUCCCAUAAGGCCCAAAAUACCAAAAAAUCCAAUUGACUACAUACAUAUUUUUGAUAAAAAUACUCCGUCAGGGGGAAUCGAACCCCCGCCGCAUCGGUGAGAGCGAUGAAUCCUAGCCACUGGACCAUGACGGAUUUAGUUAUAUACCGAAAAGUUAUAUUCAUAUUAUUAAACAAUUAUUAGAGUUGAUGAAAUAACCCCAAUGACCUGA